GGUUGUUUAAAUCUGUUUGGUUGUCGAUAUCACAUUGUCAAAUUUUUAAGUGUUACUGAGUAGUGUUCUGAUCUUUCGUGACUGCUGGCACCUUCUAGCAUUUCAGUUUCAGUUUGGCAAUGGCUGUUGCUGGUUCCUUGCAAAUGUCCCACUAUUUGGGACUUUGCAAGAGCCAGAGGCACAAGAAAAAAUAUAAGAGUAUUCCAAGUGGGGACAAGCUACCAUUAUUGAAUAGCACACUCUCAUCACGUGCAUCGUUUCAGCAAUGGGAUUCAUGGAGUAUUCGUUUAUCAGACAAUUCAUGCAGACCCAUAUGCCCUGUGUCGUAUAGAAGUAAUGCCUUUAGGUGUCAUUCUUUUCUAGUUCCAGGCCAAACAUUUCAACUUCCUGGCAUGAAGGCCACUUCCUUGGCAUUGACAGGGUCAUAUAAUGCUUUACAAAGCAGUCCUGUCGUAUUGAAGUUGGUUCCUGCAAUUGCUGUUAUCAUACUUGCUAUAUGGGGACUGGGGCCACUCAUGCGUCAAAGCAGAAAUUUGCUACUAAAUAAGAAUGAUAACAGUUGGAAAAAGAGUGGCACAUAUUAUGUUAUGACCUCUUAUGUUCAACCUUUGUUGCUGUGGACUGGUGCAACACUGAUAUGCAGAGCGCUGGAUCCUGUUAUUCUGCCUACAGAAGCUAGCCAAGUUGUUAAGCAAAGGCUUUUGUAUUUUGUAAGAUCAUUAUCGACCGUGCUGGCUUUUGCCUAUUGUUUAUCAAGUGUGAUUCAACAAGCUCAGAAGUUCUUCAUGGAGUCUAAUGAGCCCAGUGAUCCAAGAAAUAUGGGAUUCCAAUUUGCAGGGAAAGCUGUAUACUCUGCAGUGUGGGUAGCUGCUGUUUCACUUUUCAUGGAGUUGCUGGGUUUCUCUACCCAAAAGUGGCUCACUGCUGGGGGUCUUGGGACAGUUUUGCUGACCCUUGCUGGCCGUGAGAUAUUCACAAAUUUCCUCUCAAGUGCAAUGAUUCAUGCAACUCGACCUUUUGUUGUGAAUGAGUGGAUUCAAACAAAGAUUGAAGGCUAUGAAGUUUCUGGUACUGUUGAGCAUGUGGGUUGGUGGUCGCCAACAAUUAUAAGAGGUGAAGAUCGUGAAGCAGUUCAUAUUCCAAA
rnacentral:misc_RNA from 1 species